GCCGGCAGCUAGCUCUCUGCAACUCUCACAUGGUUGCCCACUGAAGGUAAGCAGAGAUGCGCCCGGUCAGUACCUGGAUGGGAGACCAAAUGGGAAUGCUAAGUUGCUGCCAGAA
rnacentral:rRNA from 1 species